AACGAACGCUGGCGGCAGGCCUAACACAUGCAAGUCGAGCGCCCCGCAAGGGGAGCGGCGGACGGGUGAGUAACGCGUGGGAACGUACCCUUUGCUACGGAAUAGCCUCGGGAAACUGGGAGUAAUACCGUAUGUGCUCUUCGGAGGAAAGAUUUAUCGGCAAAGGAUCGGCCCGCGUUGGAUUAGGUAGUUGGUGGGGUAAUGGCCUACCAAGCCGACGAUCCAUAGCUGGUUUGAGAGGAUGAUCAGCCACACUGGGACUGAGACACGGCCCAGACUCCUACGGGAGGCAGCAGUGGGGAAUCUUAGACAAUGGGCGCAAGCCUGAUCUAGCCAUGCCGCGUGAGCGAUGAAGGCCUUAGGGUUGUAAAGCUCUUUCAGUGGGGAAGAUAAUGACUGUACCCACAGAAGAAGCCCCGGCUAACUCCGUGCCAGCAGCCGCCGUAA
rnacentral:rRNA from 1 species